rnacentral:rRNA from 1 species
UACAGAGGGUGCAAGCGUUAAUCGGAAUUACUGGGCGUAAAGCGUGCGCAGGCGGUUUGGUAAGACAGAUGUGAAAUCCCCGGGCUCAACCUGGGAAUUGCAUUUGUGACUGCCCGACUAGAGUGUGUCAGAGGGGGGUAGAAUUCCACGUGUAGCAGUGAAAUGCGUAGAGAUGUGGAGGAAUACCGAUGGCGAAGGCAGCCCCCUGGGAUAACACUGACGCUCAUGCACGAAAGCGUGGGGAGCAAACAGG